rnacentral:misc_RNA from 1 species
CCUCUUGACUAAGCAUUGACUCCCUACCAAAGAUCCAUUCAGUGAUGUUUCUUUGGCCACUUUGGCAAAUCCUAUGAUGUUGGCUUUUAUCAUAGCAUCUAUCCUUCCAUGGCCAUCCAACAAAACAUCAUCCUGGUCUUCUUGCUUCAAAUCUUCGUUCUUUGAGUUUGACAAUUGCAAGGGACCAUUCACACUUACUAAAUCCUUUAAUUCAUCUGGAAGUAGCUGUGACUUCUCCAUCUCAAAGCUAUUUACAUCAGAAUCAAGCAAAGAUACAAAACCCUUGCUUGAAGUUUGAGAACUGGUACCCUUCCUAGAAGCAUGUAAACCUAAAGUGUUAAUACCGAACAAAAGUGACAGAUGAGAUAGGCUCAGCCAUAUGAACCUCCUCAAGAGUUCAUAAAGCCUGGAGCUAGCAACUACGCUUCUGAUGUCGAAGCAGAGCAUCCAUACUUGUUUCACCGGAUUGAUUAGGCAAAGCUUCCAUGUCUUGCAUCGAUGAAGCGGACUGAAGCCUUC